rnacentral:rRNA from 1 species
UACAGAGGGUGCGAGCGUUAAUCGGAAUUACUGGGCGUAAAGCGUGCGUAGACGGUUAUUUAAGUCGGGUGUGAAAGCCCCGGGCUCAACCUGGGAAUUGCAUUCGAGACUGAAUAGCUAGGGUACGGUAGAGGGAAGUGGAAUUUCCGGUGUAGCGGUGAAAUGCGUAGAUAUCAGAAGGAACAUCAGUGGCGAAAGCGACUUCCUGGACCAGUACCGACGUUCAGGCACGAAAGCGUGGGGAGCAAACAGG